rnacentral:rRNA from 1 species
UGAGGGAUAUUGCACAAUGGGCGCAAGCCUGAUGCAGCGACGCCGCGUGGAUGAUGAAGGCCUUCGGGUCGUAAAAUCCUUUUGCGCGUGACGAGAACAAGGACGGUAGCGCGCGAAUAAGUCUCGGCUAACUACGUGCCAGCAGCCGCGGUAAAACGUAGGAGACAAACGUUAUCCGGAGUUACUGGGCGUAAAGGGCGUGCAGGCGGCUUGAUAAGUUCGGCGUGAAAUUUCCCGGCUUAACCGGGGGAUGUCGUCGGAGACUGUCGAGCUAGAGGGUGAUAGAGGCGUGUGGAAUUCCGGGUGUAGUGGUGAAAUGCGUAGAGAUCCGGAGGAACACCAGUGGCGAAGGCGACACGCUGGGUCAUACCUGACACUAAAACGCGACAGCAUGGGGAGCGAACGGGAUUAGAUACCCCCGUAGUCC